AUAGACCCGAAACCCGGUGAUCUAGCCAUGGGCAGGUUGAAGGUUGGGUAACACUAACUGGAGGACCGAACCGACUAAUGUUGAAAAAUUAGCGGAUGACCUGUGGCUGGGGGUGAAAGGCCAAUCAAACCGGGAGAUAGCUGGUUCUCCCCGAAAGCUAUUUAGGUAGCGCCUCGUGAAUUCAUCUCCGGGGGUAGAGCACUGUUUCGGCUAGGGGGCCAUCCCGGCUUACCAACCCGAUGCAAACUGCGAAUACCGGAGAAUGUUAUCACGGGAGACACACGGCGGGUGCUAACGUCCGUCGUGAAGAGGGAAACAACCCAGACCGCCAGCUAAGGUCCCAAAGUCAUGGUUAAGUGGGAAACGAUGUGGGAAGGCCCAGACAGCCAGGAUGUUGGCUUAGAAGCAGCCAUCAUUUAAAGAAAGCGUAAUAGCUCACUGGUCGAGUCGGCCUGCGCGGAAGAUGUAACGGGGCUAAACCAUGCACCGAAGCUGCGGCAGCGAACGUAUCACCCAAGACAACUUUGCGGAGUUGACGAUUGACGGAGCGAAGCGACGUCAAAGCGUUCAUUAAAGUCGAGUUGGCUUAGGGAUACGUUCGUUGGGUAGGGGAGCGUUCUGUAAGCCUGUGAAGGUGGCCUGUGAGGGUUGCUGGAGGUAUCAGAAGUGCGAAUGCUGACAUAAGUAACGAUAAAGCGGGUGAAAAGCCCGCUCGCCGGAAGACCAAGGGUUCCUGUCCAACGUUAAUCGGGGCAGGGUGAGUCGACCCCUAAGGCGAGGCCGAAAGGCGUAGUCGAUGGGAAACGGGUUAAUAUUCCCGUACUUGGUGUUACUGCGAAGGGGGGACGGAGAAGGCUAUGUUGGCCGGGCGACGGUUGUCCCGGUUUAAGCGUGUAGGUGUGUGUUCCAGGUAAAUCCGGUUCACUUUAACACUGAGGCGUGACGACGAGGCACUACGGUGCUGAAGCAACAAAUGCCCUGCUUCCAGGAAAAGCCUCUAAGCAUCAGGUAACAUCAAAUCGUACCCCAAACCGACACAGGUGGUCAGGUAGAGAAUACCAAGGCGCUUGAGAGAACUCGGGUGAAGGAACUAGGCAAAAUGGUGCCGUAACUUCGGGAGAAGGCACGCUGAUAUGUAGGUGAAGCGGUUUACCCGUGGAGCUGAAAUCAGUCGAAGAUACCAGCUGGCUGCAACUGUUUAUUAAAAACACAGCACUGUGCAAACACGAAAGUGGACGUAUACGGUGUGACGCCUGCCCGGUGCCGGAAGGUUAAUUGAUGGGGUCAGCGCAAGCGAAGCUCCUGAUCGAAGCCCCGGUAAACGGCGGCCGUAACUAUAACGGUCCUAAGGUAGCGAAAUUCCUUGUCGGGUAAGUUCCGACCUGCACGAAUGGCGUAAUGAUGGCCAGGCUGUCUCCACCCGAGACUCAGUGAAAUUGAACUCGCUGUGAAGAUGCAGUGUACCCGCGGCAAGACGGAAAGACCCCGUGAACCUUUACUAUAGCUUGACACUGAACAUUGAGCCUUGAUGUGUAGGAUAGGUGGGAGGCUUUGAAGCGUGGACGCCAGUCUGCGUGGAGCCGACCUUGAAAUACCACCCUUUAAUGUUUGAUGUUCUAACGUGGACCCGUAAUCCGGGUUGCGGACAGUGUCUGGUGGGUAGUUUGACUGGGGCGGUCUCCUCCUAAAGAGUAACGGAGGAGCACGAAGGUUGGCUAAUCCUGGUCGGACAUCAGGAGGUUAGUGCAAUGGCAUAAGCCAGCUUGACUGCGAGCGUGACGGCGCGAGCAGGUGCGAAAGCAGGUCAUAGUGAUCCGGUGGUUCUGAAUGGAAGGGCCAUCGCUCAACGGAUAAAAGGUACUCCGGGGAUAACAGGCUGAUACCGCCCAAGAGUUCAUAUCGACGGCGGUGUUUGGCACCUCGAUGUCGGCUCAUCACAUCCUGGGGCUGAAGUAGGUCCCAAGGGUAUGGCUGUUCGCCAUUUAAAGUGGUACGCGAGCUGGGUUUAGAACGUCGUGAGACAGUUCGGUCCCUAUCUGCCGUGGGCGCUGGAGAACUGAGGGGGGCUGCUCCUAGUACGAGAGGACCGGAGUGGACGCAUCACUGGUGUUCGGGUUGUCAUGCCAAUGGCACUGCCCGGUAGCUAAAUGCGGAAGAGAUAAGUGCUGAAAGCAUCUAAGCACGAAACUUGCCCCGAGAUGAGUUCUCCCUGAGACUUUAGGUCUCCUGAAGGAACGUUGAAGACGACGACGUUGAUAGGCCGGGUGUGUAAGCGCAGCGAUGCGUUGAGCUAACCGGUACUAAUGAACCGUGAGGCUUAACCUUACA
rnacentral:rRNA from 1 species